rnacentral:lncRNA from 10 species
CAAAAGGAAGAGAGAGAUGGGGAAGUGCUACACACUUUUUUUUUACUCUUUAAAUUUUAUUUAUUUAUUUUAUUGUACUUUAAAAUCUGUGUAAAGUGAUCCCUUCAUUCACCCAACAUUUGCUGAUAAUCAUCCUGUGCCAGUUGCUGUGCCAGACGUUAAAGAUAAAUGAAAGACCCAUUUAUCCCCCUGGAGGAGCUGACACUUUAUUGUUUAUUUUUUUAAAUUUUUUAAGUUAUUAUUUUAGGUUUGAGGGUACAUGUGAAGAUUUGUUACAUUGGUAAACUUGUGUUACAGGGUUUUUUUGAUACAGAUUAUUUCCUCACCCGGGUAUUAAGCCCAGUACUCAAUAGUUAUCUUUUAUGCUCCUCUCCCUCCUCCCACCCUCCACCCUCAAGUAGACCUCAGUGUCUGUUGUUUCUUUCUUAAUGUUCAUAAUUUCUUAUUAUUUAGCUUCCACCUGUUUCAUUGGUCUAUGUGCCUGUUUUUGUGCUAGUGCUAUGCUGUUUUGGUACAUUUAUCAUUUACUUGUGGUGAUAACAUUCAAAAUCCUCUCCUACUCCUUCCCUUCCUUCUGUCCUUCUCAGCCUCUGGUAACCACCAUUCCACACACACACAUUAUUCCAUGGUGUGGGUGUGUGUAUAUGUAUAUAAAGAAAUUGCAUAUAUAUGAUUUCUUUCAUCUGUGUUAUAUAUACACACCACAUUUUCUUUAUCCACUUACCAGUUGAUGGGAACAUGGGUUGAUUCAAUACCUUCACAAUUGUGAAAUGUGCUGCAAUAAAUAGAUAUGUGAGGUUGUAGUUUUGAUAUAGGUGAUUUAUUUUCCUUUAAGUCGAUACCCAGUAGUGGGAUUGCUGGAUAGAAUGGUAGGUCUGCUUUUCGUUCUUUGAGAAAUCUCCACAUUGUUUUCCAUAGAGGUUGUACUAAUUUACAUUCCCACCAACAGUGUGUAAGUACUCUGUUUUCACUGCAGUUGUGCCGACAUCUAUUUUUGUUUUUGCAUUUCCUGGAAAAUUAUGGUCUACAGAGCAGAGUCAACUGAGUGUCAGCAAUUUAAACUGUAUUCAUCACAAAAUACAAAUUUGAAGAAAACUGCAAGCAAUUUUAUUAAAAAAUGUAAAACAGCACAACAUUGCAAAAUAUAUUCUUCAGAAAAUUGCCUCUUCAUGUAGAGAAUGCUGCCGGGACUGACCCAUGUCUUUUCUGAAUCACCUCUGACAUAUGACCAGGUUAGGCCAUAGAUAGACUUUAUCUUCAAAUAGAGGCUCUUCCCCCACCAUGUAUGCAAAUAAAGUGGUGAUUAAUAACUAAGGUAAAAUACUUUACAUAGAUCUCUUAUCUGUCUUUUGUAUGAAUUCUACAUACCACUGUGGUGCUAUGGAUGAAUAAAUUACACCUUGAAGUAGUAUCUACCAGGAUGGUAUCUCUAGCUUUAUGAUCUUUAGCAAGUCAAAUCACCUCUCUGGCUUUUUUUUUUUUUUUUCCAAUGGCAAAAUUUAGGCAACCUCUAAAGAAACUCCUCAAGGUAAUGUGCAAAUUAGGGUUGCCAACUUUCAUUCAGGUAAUGACGAGACAGGUUGUGAUGGCAUUUUGAGAGAGACCUGCUGUUUUGGGAGCAGGAUGGUGGUAGGCUUUUCUUCUAGGGCUCUCUUGUCUUUUCUAUCCUUAUGACUUUUCUAAAGAACUUUCAAAUUUCUGUUCGCGAUGACUGAGUGAGUCAUGAAUCACAUGAGUAUUGAAGAGAGCAGUCCUCGGCUAUAGACUGUGUGUGACACAGACUUCUUGCUUGUUUUUAUAGGUUUCUGUUGUCUCUUAUUGCAGAAGAGACUCGAUUUUCAGACUGUCAGUGAGGAACUUCAUAGAAGGAGGUAGUGUAGGUGGGUUUCUUGUCAAACUGAAUUUGAACUUUGAUUUUUUAUGAAGUGAAAAAUACUAAUAAUUGUCCACAAAAUAUUGCCGACUUUAAGUAUUUUUGUCCUUAUCUUGUUUAUUAAGCAGGGAUGAGCACAAGUCAAAUGAGCAGAGCCUGGAGAAAAUUAAAAUCAAGAAUUCUCACUCCAAGUCACAAAGUACAAUCAUGAUGUGUGACCGGGGUCUUGAGAGCAUUAAUUUCCCAUUCCCUUGACAAUGAACUCUCCUAAUGUAUGUAUUAAAGACAUAGGAUAUAGUACUUAUUAUCAGCAUAUCAUAAAUCUUCCAUUAA